rnacentral:tRNA from 1 species
UGGGGGAUUGUGUAACGGCAGCACUGCAGACUCUGGAUCUGCCUGUCUAGGUUCGAAUCCUAGUCCCCCAGCCA